ACGGGAGGCAGCAGUGGGGGAUAUUGCACAAUGGGGGAAACCCUGAUGCAGCAACGCCGCGUGAAGGAAGAAGGUCUUCGGAUUGUAAACUUUUGUCCUUGGGGAAGAAUAGAUGACGGUACCCAUGGAGGAAGCCACGGCUAACUACGUGCCAGCAGCCGCGGUAAUACGUAGGUGGCAAGCGUUGUCCGGAUUUACUGGGUGUAAAGGGCGUGUAGACGGGAUUGCAAGUCAGAGGUGAAAUUUAUGGGCUCAACCCAUAACCUGCCUUUGAAACUGUGAUUCUUGAGUGAUGGAGAGGUAAGCGGAAUUCCUAGUGUAGCGGUGAAAUGCGUAGAUAUUAGGAGGAACACCGGUGGCGAAGGCGGCUUACUGGACAUUAACUGACGUUGAGGCGCGAAAGUGUGGGGAGCAAACAGGAUUAGAUACCCUGGUA
rnacentral:rRNA from 2 species